AGAACUUUGAAAAGAGAGUUAAACAGUACGUGAAAUUGUUGAAAGGGAAACGAUUGAAGUCAGUCAUACCAACGGGAAAUCAACCUCUUGAGUUUGGUCUCGUGGGUUUCGAAGAGUUUAAAAACCCUCCGAAUUUCCAGAAUGGGGUCCUCCGGGGGACCUUCCCCGACGGGUAGGCCACAUCCGGUUUGAAAGGCCUAAAAAGGCCGGGGGAAAGGGGGCUUCCAUAAA
rnacentral:rRNA from 1 species